rnacentral:misc_RNA from 1 species
GCGAUGAGGCAUUACUCUUCUUGACUUUCUUGGUGGAGACAAUACCACAGGACCAUCAUGUGGAUUGAGAUCUGACACCUUAGGAUUUCCAGGCUCUCGCUUAGGGGGAGGUCGUGGAAGCAGAGCUGGUUCCGUAGGUGGCGGUCCUGAUGAGAAGUACCGAUGCUCCAAUGCUUGCUGCGCUGAGAUCCUAGCUUUUGGAUCGUAAGUAAACAUCUUCGACAGAAGAUCCAGGCAAUCAUCAGUAGCCGUUGGAAACAGUGUUUUGAAUGGCUGUCCAGGGACAUAUUGGUACUCAACAUAAUCCGGCAAGUAGACCAUAUCAUGCCACUGUGAAGGCUUUGGGGUCCCAAAAGCCGCAAAAAUCUUCCCUAGCUGAUCAAUAUCACUGUUUCCCUGCAGAAAUGGUCGCCGCAGGAGAAGCUCUGCAAAGAUACAUGCAGCGGCCCAAACAUCUACUCCAGGUCCAUACUGCUUUGCACCAAACAAUAACUCCGGUGCUCUGUACCACCGGGCAAAAACCUGAUGUGUGAAUCUUCUGUCAGGGCUACCAAAUAUACGUGCUAAUCCAAAGUCAGCAAGCUUAAGCUGCCCAUCAGGCCCAAUCAGUAAAUUGUUUGGUUUCAUAUCUCUAUGCAAGACCCAUUUCUUGUGACAAAAAGCAAGACCUUUUAAUGUCAUCUGGAUAUAAGAUUUUAUAUCCGCAGGUGAGAGGAAGAUAUUCCUAUCACGA